rnacentral:rRNA from 1 species
CUAGUUGGUAAGGUAACGGCUUACCAAGGCAACGAUGCAUAGCCGACCUGAGAGGGUGAUCGGCCACACUGGAACUGAGACACGGUCCAGACUCCUACGGGAGGCAGCAGUAGGGAAUCUUCCGCAAUGGGCGAAAGCCUGACGGAGCAACGCCGCGUGAGUGAUGAAGGUCUUCGGAUCGUAAAACUCUGUUAUUAGGGAAGAACAUAUGUGUAAGUAACUGUGCACAUCUUGACGGUACCUAAUCAGAAAGCCACGGCUAACUACGUGCCAGCAGCCGCGGUAAUACGUAGGUGGCAAGCGUUAUCCGGAAUUAUUGGGCGUAAAGCGCGCGUAGGCGGUUUU